rnacentral:rRNA from 1 species
AGUGAACGCUGGCGGUAGGCCUAACACAAGCAAGUCGAACGGCAGCACAGAGGAGCUUGCUCCUUGGGUGGCGAGUGGCGGACGGGUGAGGAAUACAUCGGAAUCUACUUUUUCGUGGGGGAUAACGUAGGGAAACUUACGCUAAUACCGCAUACGACCUACGGGUGAAAGCAGGGGAUCUUCGGACCUUGCGCGAUUGAAUGAGCCGAUGUCGGAUUAGCUAGUUGGCGGGGUAAAGGCCCACCAAGGCGACGAUCCGUAGCUGGUCCGAGAGGAUGAUCAGCCAAACUGGAACUGAGACACGGUCCAGACUCCUACGGGAGGCAGCAGUGGGGAAUAUUGGACAAUGGGCGCAAGCCUGAUCCAGCCAUACCGCGUGGGUGAAGAAGGCCUUCGGGUUGUAAAGCCCUUUUGUUGGGAAAGAAAUCCAGCCGGCUAAUACCUGGUUGGGAUGACGGUACCCAAAGAAUAAGCACCGGCUAACUUCGUGCCAGCCGCCGCGGUAA